rnacentral:rRNA from 1 species
GACGAACGCUGGCGGCGUGCCUAAUACAUGCAAGUCGAACGAAGCUGUUUUAACUGGUGCUUGCACCGACUUAAACAACUGAGUGGCGAACGGGUGAGUAGCACGUGGGUAACCUGCCCCAAGGCGGGGGAUAACAUUUGGAAACAGAUGCUAAUACCGCAUAAUCACAGAAACCACAUGGUUUCUGUGUCAAAGAUGGUUUCGGCUAUCACUUUGGGAUGGACCCGCGGCGUAUUAGCUAGUUGGUAAGGUAAUGGCUUACCAAGGCAAUGAUACGUAGCCGAACUGAGAGGUUGAUCGGCCACAUUGGGACUGAGACACGGCCCAAACUCCUACGGGAGGCAGCAGUAGGGAAUCUUCCACAAUGGACGAAAGUCUGAUGGAGCAACGCCGCGUGAGUGAAGAAGGUUUUCGGAUCGUAAAACUCUGUUGUCAGAGAAGAACGUGUGCGAGAGUAACUGUUCGUGCAGUGACGGUAUCUGGCCAGAAAGCCACGGCUAACUACGUGCCAGCCGCCGCAGUAA